CAUUCACGGAGAGUUUGAUCCUGGCUCAGGACGAACGCUGGCGGCGUGCUUAACACAUGCAAGUCGAACGAUGAACCGCUUUCGGGCGGGGAUUAGUGGCGAACGGGUGAGUAACACGUGGGCAAUCUGCCCUGCACUCUGGGACAAGCCCUGGAAACGGGGUCUAAUACCGGAUAUGACUGUCCAUCGCAUGGUGGAUGGUGUAAAGCUCCGGCGGUGCAGGAUGAGCCCGCGGCCUAUCAGCUUGUUGGUGAGGUAGUGGCU
rnacentral:rRNA from 1 species